UACGGGGGGGGCAAGCGUUGUUCGGAAUUACUGGGCGUAAAGGGCUCGUAGGCGGCCAACUAAGUCAGGGGUGAAAUCCCAGAGCUCAACUCUGGAACUGCCUUUGAUACUGGGUGUCUUGAGUAUGGAAGAGGUGAGUGGAAUUCCGAGUGUAGAGGUGAAAUUCGUAGAUAUUCGGAGGAACACCAGUGGCGAAGGCAGUGUCCUGGGGAGCAUCUGACGCUCAGGUGCGAAAGCUAGGGGAGCGAACGGG
rnacentral:rRNA from 1 species